CACCCGUUAUUCAAUACUACUAUGAGAAAAGUAGGGAAAUGCUCACCCUCUGCUAAAUGUACUGGUUCGUCUCGCGGUCUCACCCCCAAAAACAGAGGAGAGGAGAAGGGAGCUCCUCUCUCACACUCGUCGGCUCCAAGGAGCCCCGCCGCCAUGCAUGGUGGAGAGGAGCAGGGAGCUCCGCCGCAACGUAAGGCAAACCAAGUCUGCAACGUUUGAAUAUUAUACUCAGUCAGUUGCUCGACUACUUACAGUCCUAUUACUUGAGACUUAUACUUGGUUAGCUGUCGUGUACAUUAUUCUGACAUAAAUGACACCAUGUCUAUGUGCAAGUCAGAAGGACCUGACCAUCUAAAAAGAUGUCAAAUUAGUGUGGUACAUGCUUCAGUACUGCAAGUUGGAGUAGCAAGUAAGUAUACACAUCAAAUGAAAGUACUGCAAGUUGGAGUAGCAAGUAAGUAUACACAUCAAAUGAAAGUACUGCUUUAGUACAACAUGCUUCAGUACUGACCAUCUAAAAAGAUGUCUAAUUAGUGUGCACGAAUCAUGUUAAAACCUGUAGUGCCUACUUGCGCAUUGAUACUCAUACCUGACGGUGAUAAAAGUUGCAUUUUGAGAUUCAAUUCUUUGAUUUAUGAUGCUCUGCCAUAUGCACAAUGAGAACAUAUAUCCUUCUUACUGAUCUCUGUUUUUCUAAGUUGAAACUAUUUCUUUGUUACUUGGUGUAUGUGAAGUGCAAUCAUAGUCCUGUCACAAACUUGUUUGAGGAAGGCAAAAGACUGGCCUUUUGCAGGACAGAGAAAAGACCGGCUUAUUUUAGUUCAACACAACAUAGCAAGCUCAAUAUAUAUUAGUUAGCACAUGGCAGGAUGCAGACUAGCCAUGUUCAUUUGUCAACAUUUAUACUUUCCAUUGUGUAGUUGAAGCACGCAUAGGAGCGUCCCAGUUAUGAUGUAUAGUUCACAAUGUUGAUUUGGUAAGUAGUUAGAAAACAUAUGUGAUGUAUAUGUAAAAAGUUGUGCCUCAUUCAAUUCAGAUAAUUGAUUUUCUGACUUUGCAUAUCGAUAAUUGAAAACGAUGCAUGACACACGUGUUAGUGAAAUAGAACAGUAUUAGUGUAGUCCGUGGCUUUGAAAUAUUUGAAAUAGUGGUGUCACAUAACUUCUUAUAAUCAUGGCGUAUAUUCUAGGAUCAUAAAAUUCUCUGAAAUAGUUUAUAUAUUUUUUCUUUCUCUUUUUGUUGUGAAUAUAAAAUUUCAGGCUUUCUCUUAUUGAAACACACAGAGUUCUUGAUAAAUGAGAAAGAGUCAGUUAUGUCAACACCAUGAGCACCCUUGAAUAAAAGUUUAUGUCGGUGUACUAGAGUAGGGGUACCCUAGUAUCCCGAACUCGUGCACGGGCAGUUGCAGCGCCCCGCGGCAAGGCUUGCCGGGCGACCG